rnacentral:rRNA from 1 species
AUUGAACGCUGGCGGCAUGCCUUACACAUGCAAGUCGAACGGUAACGGGCCUUCGGGUGCCGACGAGUGGCGAACGGGUGAGUAAUACAUCGGAACGUGCCCGAUCGUGGGGGAUAACGAGGCGAAAGCUUUGCUAAUACCGCAUACGAUCUACGGAUGAAAGCAGGAGACCGCAAGGCCUUGCGCGGACGGAGCGGCCGAUGGCAGAUUAGGUAGUUGGUGGGAUAAAAGCUUACCAAGCCGACGAUCUGUAGCUGGUCUGAGAGGAUGAUCAGCCACACUGGGACUGAGACACGGCCCAGACUCCUACGGGAGGCAGCAGUGGGGAAUUUUGGACAAUGGGCGCAAGCCUGAUCCAGCCAUGCCGCGUGCAGGAUGAAGGCCUUCGGGUUGUAAACUGCUUUUGUACGGAACGAAAAGCCUUCUUUUAAUACAGGAGGGUCAUGACGGUACCGUAAGAAUAAGCACCGGCUAACUACGUG